GAAGGAGCGUGGACGGCAAGGAGGGGGGGGGGGGAGACGAAGGCUCUGCGGCAGAGAGGUGCUGCCUGGCCAGGCGAUUGCGUGGGAUGGGCGGAUGGGAUUGGAUCCCCUGAGCCCCACCGGUUGGAUUUCCGGACUCAGAGCCCGAACCAGGUGGGCCGGCAGGGUCUGCGGUCCCUCCAAGCGCACCUGGCCUUAGCCGGGUUGGAACCCCUCAUAGUAAGCGACCAAGUGGGCGGCGGGGGUCCGGCUGGACCAAGGGGAGGGUGGCCCUUCCCAUCCCAAAAGGAGACCUUCCUAGGAGCACUGGAAACCACAGAUGUACGAAAUUGAAGGGGAAGCAUGAAUGCCAAUUGCAUUGGGUAGUAUGAAAUAAUAUAUUUGAAUUCUUUUUUUCUUUCUUUCUUUCUACUGGUAAAGACUUCGGUCCCGUCCCCGCCUGCCUGCCUUCCUUCCUUCCUUCCUUCCUUCCUUCCUUCCUUCCUUCCUUCCUUCCUUCCUUCCUUCUCACCUAUCUGCCAGAGGUUCGUCUUCUUGGGCUCUGCUGAACUGAACUCGGGGACUGAAAGGAAGCCGCGGGGAUGCAAAGGUAGCGGAACCCGCUUAAAUUGAGUCAAUUGAUCCUCGGAAUUUUGGCUCCGUCAGGGUUUGUUGGGGGGGGAGGGUUCACCCCCUUCAAAUCCAAAGUAAUUGCUACUGUGGGCUCCUUGGCACUUUUGCGUCAGAUCGCCCCCCCCCCCCCCCCGCACCUUCGAGGACUGGGAGAAAGAGAGAGCCGAGUCAAGUCCGUGCGGAGACUGAUGCGCGCUGGCUUCGGGGCUCAACUCCAAUGCCAAACGCCGCGGUGGACGCGAGUUCUCGACCCGUGGCUCGCCUUCGCCGCGUUGGUGACGUCCCUGAAUUGUUGGGUUGUCGCCCCAGUGUGUUAAGCACCGCUCCCCACACCCAACGGCUUGUCCCAGCUGAAAACUUUUGAAAAUGCAGUCGUCAGCUGGGUUUUGUUGUUGUUAAUAAAUUAAAAAAACACCACCAUCCAAA